rnacentral:lncRNA from 1 species
AUGUGCAGGUGGGUUAAUAGUGUGAAGGCAUCGCGCAUCCUCAUGCACAUGUGCAGGUGGGUUAAUAGUGUGAAGGCAUCGCGCAUCCUCACGCACAUGUGCAGGUGGGUUAAUAGUGUGAAGGCAUCGCGCAUCCUCACGCACACGUGCAGGUGGGUUAACAGUGUAGUGAAGGCAUCGCGCAUCCUCACGCACAUGUGCAGGUGGGUUAACAGUGUAGUGAAGGCAUCACGCAUCCUCACGCACAUGUGCAGGUGGGUUAAUAGUGUGAAGGCAUCGCGCAUCCUCACGCACAUGUGCAGGUGGGUUAAUAGUGCAGUGAAGGCAUCGCGCAUCCUCACGCACAUGUGCAGGUGGGUUAAUAGUGUAGUGAAGGCAUCGCGCAUCCUCACGCACAUGUGCAGGUGGGUUGACAGUGUAGUGAAUGCAUCGCGCAUCCUCACGCACAUGUGCAGGUGGGUUAAUAGUGUAGUGAAGGCAUCGCGCAUCCUCACGCACAUGUGCAGGUGGGUUAAUAGUGUAGUGAAUGCAUCGCGCAUCCUCACGCACAUGUGCAGGUGGGUUGAUAGUGUAGUGAAUGCAUCGCCCAUCCUCACGCACAUGUGCAGGUGGGUUGAUAGUGUAGUGAAGGCAUCGCGCAUCCUCACGCACAUGUGCAGGUGGGUUAACAGUGUAGUGAAGGCAUCGCGCAUCCUCACGCACAUGUGCAGGUGGGUUGAUAGUGUAGUGAAUGCAUCGCCCAUCCUCACGCACAUGUGCAGGUGGGUUGAUAGUGUAGUGAAGGCAUCGCGCAUCCUCACGCACAUGUGCAGGUGGGUUAACAGUGUAGUGAAGGCAUCGCGCAUCCUCACGCACAUGUGCAGGUGGGUUAAUAGUGUGAAGGCAUCGCGCAUCCUCACGCACAUGUGCAGGUGGGUUGAUAGUGUAGUGAAGACAUCGCGCAUCCUCACGUACAUGUGCAGGUGGGUUGAUAGUGUAGUGAAUGCAUCGCGCAUCCUCACGCACAUGUGCAGGUGGAUUAACAGUGUAGUGAAGGCAUCGCGCAUCCUCACGCACAUGUGCAGGUGGGUUAACAGUGUAGUGAAGGCAUCACGCAUCCUCACGCACAUGUGCAGGUGGGUUAAUAGUGUGAAGGCAUCGUGCAUCCUCACGCACAUGUGCAGGUGGGUUGAUAGUGUAGUGAAGGCAUCGCGCAUCCUCACGCACAUGUGCAGGUGGGUUGAUAGUGUAGUGAAGGCAUCGCGCAUCCUCACGCACAUGUGCAGGUGGGUUAACAGUGUAGUGAAGGCAUCACGCAUCCUCACGCACAUGUGCAGGUGGGUUAAUAGUGUGAAGGCAUCGCGCAUCCUCACGUACAUGUGCAGGUGGGUUGAUAGUGUAGUGAAGGCAUCGCGCAUCCUCACGCACAUGUGCAGGUGGAUUAAUAGUGUAGUGAAGGCAUCGCGCAUCCUCACGCACAUGUGCAGGUGGGUUAAUAGUGUAGUGAAUGCAUCGCGCAUCCUCACGCACAUGUGCAGGUGGGUUAAUAGUGUAGUGAAGGCAUCGCGCAUCCUCACGCACAUGUGCAGGUGGGUUGAUAGUGUAGUGAAGGCAUCGCGCAUCCUCACGCACAUGUGCAGGUGGGUUAACAGUGUAGUGAAGGCAUCACGCAUCCUCACGCACACGUGCAGGUGGGUUAAUAGUGUGAAGGCAUCGCGCAUCCUCACGUACAUGUGCAGGUGGGUUGAUAGUGUAGUGAAGACAUCGCGCAUCCUCACGCACAUGUGCAGGUGGGUUGAUAGUGUAGUGAAGGCAUCGCGCAUCCUCACGCACAUGUGCAGGUGGGUUAAUAGUGUAGUGAAGGCAUCGCGCAUCCUCACGCACAUGUGCAGGUGGGUUGAUAGUGUAGUGAAGGCAUCGCGCAUCCUCACGCACAUGUGCAGGUGGGUUAAUAGUGUAGUGAAUGCAUCGCGCAUCCUCACGCACAUGUGCAGGUGGGUUAAUAGUGUGAAGGCAUCGCGCAUCCUCACGUACAUGUGCAGGUGGGUUGAUAGUGUAGUGAAGGCAUCGCGCAUCCUCACGCACAUGUGCAGGUGGGUUAAUAGUGUAGUGAAGGCAUCGCGCAUCCUCACGCACAUGUGCAGGUGGGUUAAUAGUGUGAAGGCAUCGCGCAUCCUCACGUACAUGUGCAGGUGGGUUGAUAGUGUAGUGAAGGCAUCGCGCAUCCUCACGCACAUGUGCAGGUGGAUUAAUAGUGUAGUGAAUGCAUCGCGCAUCCUCACGCACAUGUGCAGGUGGGUUGAUAGUGUAGUGAAGGCAUCGCGCAUCCUCACGCACAUGUGCAGGUGGGUUAAUAGUGUAGUGAAUGCAUCGCGCAUCCUCACGUACAUGUGCAGGUGGGUUGAUAGUGUAGUGAAGGCAUCGCGCAUCCUCACGCACAUGUGCAGGUGGGUUGAUAGUGUAGUGAAGGCAUCGCGCAUCCUCACGCACAUGUGCAGGUGGGUUAAUAGUGUAGUGAAGGCAUCGCGCAUCCUCACGCACAUGUGCAGGUGGGUUGAUAGUGUAGUGAAGGCAUCGCGCAUCCUCACGCACAUGUGCAGGUGGGUUGAUAGUGUAGUGAAGGCAUCGCGCAUCCUCACGCACAUGUGCAGGUGGGUUAACAGUGUAGUGAAGGCAUCACGCAUCCUCACGCACAUGUGCAGGUGGGUUAAUAGUGUGAAGGCAUCGCGCAUCCUCUCGCACAUGUGCAGGUGGGUUAAUAGUGUGAAGGCAUCGCGCAUCCUCACGCACAUGUGCAGGUGGGUUAAUAGUGUAGUGAAGGCAUCGCGCAUCCUCACGCACAUGUGCAGGUGGGUUAAUAGUGUGAAGGCAUCGCGCAUCCUCACGUACAUGUGCAGGUGGGUUGAUAGUGUAGUGAAGGCAUCGCGCAUCCUCACGCACAUGUGCAGGUGGGUUAAUAGUGUAGUGAAUGCAUCGCGCAUCCUCACGCACAUGUGCAGGUGGGUUAAUAGUGUAGUGAAGGCAUCGCGCAUCCUCACGCACAUGUGCAGGUGGGUUAAUAGUGUAGUGAAUGCAUCGCGCAUCCUCACGCACAUGUGCAGGUGGGUUAAUAGUGUAGUGAAUGCAUCGCGCAUCCUCACGCACAUGUGCAGGUGGGUUAAUAGUGUAGUGAAGGCAUCGCGCAUCCUCACGCACAUGUGCAGGUGGGUUGAUAGUGUAGUGAAGGCAUCGCGCAUCCUCACGCACAUGUGCAGGUGGGUUGACAGUGUAGUGAAGGCAUCACGCAUCCUCACGCACAUGUGCAGGUGGGUUAAUAGUGUGAAGGCAUCGCGCAUCCUCACGUACAUGUGCAGGUGGGUUGAUAGUGUAGUGAAGACAUCGCGCAUCCUCACGCACAUGUGCAGGUGGGUUGAUAGUGUAGUGAAGGCAUCGCGCAUCCUCACGCACAUGUGCAGGUGGGUUAAUAGUGUGAAGGCAUCGCGCAUCCUCUCGCACAUGUGCAGGUGGGUUAAUAGUGUGAAGGCAUCGCGCAUCCUCACGCACAUGUGCAGGUGGGUUAAUAGUGUAGUGAAGGCAUCGCGCAUCCUCACGCACAUGUGCAGGUGGGUUAAUAGUGUGAAGGCAUCGCGCAUCCUCACGUACAUGUGCAGGUGGGUUGAUAGUGUAGUGAAGGCAUCGCGCAUCCUCACGCACAUGUGCAGGUGGAUUAAUAGUGUAGUGAAUGCAUCGCGCAUCCUCACGCACAUGUGCAGGUGGGUUAAUAGUGUAGUGAAGGCAUCGCGCAUCCUCACGCACAUGUGCAGGUGGGUUAAUAGUGUAGUGAAUGCAUCGCGCAUCCUCACGCACAUGUGCAGGUGGGUUAAUAGUGUAGUGAAUGCAUCGCGCAUCCUCACGCACAUGUGCAGGUGGGUUAAUAGUGUAGUGAAGGCAUCGCGCAUCCUCACGCACAUGUGCAGGUGGGUUGAUAGUGUAGUGAAGGCAUCGCGCAUCCUCACGCACAUGUGCAGGUGGGUUAACAGUGUAGUGAAGGCAUCACGCAUCCUCACGCACAUGUGCAGGUGGGUUAAUAGUGUGAAGGCAUCGCGCAUCCUCACGUACAUGUGCAGGUGGGUUGAUAGUGUAGUGAAGACAUCGCGCAUCCUCACGCACAUGUGCAGGUGGGUUGAUAGUGUAGUGAAGGCAUCGCGCAUCCUCACGCACAUGUGCAGGUGGGUUAAUAGUGUGAAGGCAUCGCGCAUCCUCACGUACAUGUGCAGGUGGGUUGAUAGUGUAGUGAAGGCAUCGCGCAUCCUCACGUACAUGUGCAGGUGGGUUGAUAGUGUAGUGAAGGCAUCGCGCAUCCUCACGCACAUGUGCAGGUGGAUUAAUAGUGUAGUGAAUGCAUCGCGCAUCCUCACGCACAUGUGCAGGUGGGUUAAUAGUGUAGUGAAUGCAUCGCGCAUCCUCACGCACAUGUGCAGGUGGGUUAAUAGUGUAGUGAAGGCAUCGCGCAUCCUCACGCACAUGUGCAGGUGGGUUGAUAGUGUAGUGAAGGCAUCGCGCAUCCUCACGCACAUGUGCAGGUGGGUUAAUAGUGUAGUGAAUGCAUCGCGCAUCCUCACGUACAUGUGCAGGUGGGUUGAUAGUGUAGUGAAGGCAUCGCGCAUCCUCACGCACAUGUGCAGGUGGGUUGAUAGUGUAGUGAAGGCAUCGCGCAUCCUCACGCACAUGUGCAGGUGGGUUAAUAGUGUAGUGAAGGCAUCGCGCAUCCUCACGCACAUGUGCAGGUGGGUUGAUAGUGUAGUGAAGGCAUCGCGCAUCCUCACGCACAUGUGCAGGUGGGUUGAUAGUGUAGUGAAGGCAUCGCGCAUCCUCACGCACAUGUGCAGGUGGGUUAACAGUGUAGUGAAGGCAUCACGCAUCCUCACGCACAUGUGCAGGUGGGUUAAUAGUGUGAAGGCAUCGCGCAUCCUCACGCACAUGUGCAGGUGGGUUGAUAGUGUAGUGAAUGCAUCGCGCAUCCUCACGCACAUGUGCCGGUGGGUUGAUAGUGUAGUGAAGGCAUCGCGCAUCCUCACGUACAUGUGCAGGUGGGUUGAUAGUGUAGUGAAUGCAUUGCGCAUCCUCACGCACAUGUGCAGGUGGAUUAAUAGUGUAGUGAAGGCAUCGCGCAUCCUCACGCACAUGUGCAGGUGGGUUGAUAGUGUAGUGAAGGCAUCACGCAUCCUCACGCACAUGUGCAGGUGGGUUAAUAGUGUGAAGGCAUCGCGCAUCCUCACGCACAUGUGCAGGUGGGUUGAUAGUGUAGUGAAGGCAUCGCGCAUCCUCACGCACAUGUGCAGGUGGAUUAAUAGUGUAGUGAAUGCAUCGCGCAUCCUCACGCACAUGUGCAGGUGGGUUAAUAGUGUAGUGAAGGCAUCGCGCAUCCUCACGCACAUGUGCAGGUGGGUUAAUAGUGUAGUGAAUGCAUCGCGCAUCCUCACGCACAUGUGCAGGUGGGUUAAUAGUGUAGUGAAGGCAUCGCGCAUCCUCACGCACAUGUGCAGGUGGAUUAAUAGUGUAGUGAAUGCAUCGCGCAUCCUCACGCACAUGUGCAGGUGGGUUGAUAGUGUAGUGAAGGCAUCGCGCAUCCUCACGCACAUGUGCAGGUGGGUUAAUAGUGUAGUGAAUGCAUCGCGCAUCCUCACGCACAUGUGCAGGUGGGUUAAUAGUGUAGUGAAGGCAUCGCGCAUCCUCACGCACAUGUGCAGGUGGGUUGAUAGUGUAGUGAAGGCAUCGCGCAUCCUCACGCACAUGUGCAGGUGGGUUAACAGUGUAGUGAAGGCAUCACGCAUCCUCACGCACAUGUGCAGGUGGGUUAAUAGUGUGAAGGCAUCGCGCAUCCUCACUUACAUGUGCAGGUGGGUUGAUAGUGUAGUGAAGACAUCGCGCAUCCUCACGCACAUGUGCAGGUGGGUUGAUAGUGUAGUGAAGGCAUCGCGCAUCCUCACGCACAUGUGCAGGUGGGUUAAUAGUGUGAAGGCAUCGCGCAUCCUCACGUACAUGUGCAGGUGGGUUGAUAGUGUAGUGAAGGCAUCGCGCAUCCUCACGUACAUGUGCAGGUGGGUUGAUAGUGUAGUGAAGGCAUCGCGCAUCCUCACGCACAUGUGCAGGUGGAUUAAUAGUGUAGUGAAUGCAUCGCGCAUCCUCACGCACAUGUGCAGGUGGGUUAAUAGUGUAGUGAAUGCAUCGCGCAUCCUCACGCACAUGUGCAGGUGGGUUAAUAGUGUAGUGAAGGCAUCGCGCAUCCUCACGCACAUGUGCAGGUGGGUUGAUAGUGUAGUGAAGGCAUCGCGCAUCCUCACGCACAUGUGCAGGUGGGUUAAUAGUGUAGUGAAUGCAUCGCGCAUCCUCACGUACAUGUGCAGGUGGGUUGAUAGUGUAGUGAAGGCAUCGCGCAUCCUCACGCACAUGUGCAGGUGGGUUGAUAGUGUAGUGAAGGCAUCGCGCAUCCUCACGCACAUGUGCAGGUGGGUUAAUAGUGUAGUGAAGGCAUCGCGCAUCCUCACGCACAUGUGCAGGUGGGUUGAUAGUGUAGUGAAGGCAUCGCGCAUCCUCACGCACAUGUGCAGGUGGGUUGAUAGUGUAGUGAAGGCAUCGCGCAUCCUCACGCACAUGUGCAGGUGGGUUAACAGUGUAGUGAAGGCAUCACGCAUCCUCACGCACAUGUGCAGGUGGGUUAAUAGUGUGAAGGCAUCGCGCAUCCUCUCGCACAUGUGCAGGUGGGUUAAUAGUGUGAAGGCAUCGCGCAUCCUCACGCACAUGUGCAGGUGGGUUAAUAGUGUAGUGAAGGCAUCGCGCAUCCUCACGCACAUGUGCAGGUGGGUUAAUAGUGUGAAGGCAUCGCGCAUCCUCACGUACAUGUGCAGGUGGGUUGAUAGUGUAGUGAAGGCAUCGCGCAUCCUCACGCACAUGUGCAGGUGGAUUAAUAGUGUAGUGAAUGCAUCGCGCAUCCUCACGCACAUGUGCAGGUGGGUUAAUAGUGUAGUGAAGGCAUCGCGCAUCCUCACGCACAUGUGCAGGUGGGUUAAUAGUGUAGUGAAUGCAUCGCGCAUCCUCACGCACAUGUGCAGGUGGGUUAAUAGUGUAGUGAAUGCAUCGCGCAUCCUCACGCACAUGUGCAGGUGGGUUAAUAGUGUAGUGAAGGCAUCGCGCAUCCUCACGCACAUGUGCAGGUGGGUUAAUAGUGUAGUGAAGGCAUCGCGCAUCCUCACGCACAUGUGCAGGUGGGUUAACAGUGUAGUGAAGGCAUCACGCAUCCUCACGCACAUGUGCAGGUGGGUUAAUAGUGUGAAGGCAUCGCGCAUCCUCACGUACAUGUGCAGGUGGGUUGAUAGUGUAGUGAAGACAUCGCGCAUCCUCACGCACAUGUGCAGGUGGGUUGAUAGUGUAGUGAAGGCAUCGCGCAUCCUCACGCACAUGUGCAGGUGGGUUAAUAGUGUGAAGGCAUCGCGCAUCCUCUCGCACAUGUGCAGGUGGGUUAAUAGUGUGAAGGCAUCGCGCAUCCUCACGCACAUGUGCAGGUGGGUUAAUAGUGUAGUGAAGGCAUCGCGCAUCCUCACGCACAUGUGCAGGUGGGUUAAUAGUGUGAAGGCAUCGCGCAUCCUCACGUACAUGUGCAGGUGGGUUGAUAGUGUAGUGAAGGCAUCGCGCAUCCUCACGCACAUGUGCAGGUGGAUUAAUAGUGUAGUGAAUGCAUCGCGCAUCCUCACGCACAUGUGCAGGUGGGUUAAUAGUGUAGUGAAGGCAUCGCGCAUCCUCACGCACAUGUGCAGGUGGGUUAAUAGUGUAGUGAAUGCAUCGCGCAUCCUCACGCACAUGUGCAGGUGGGUUAAUAGUGUAGUGAAUGCAUCGCGCAUCCUCACGCACAUGUGCAGGUGGGUUAAUAGUGUAGUGAAGGCAUCGCGCAUCCUCACGCACAUGUGCAGGUGGGUUGAUAGUGUAGUGAAGGCAUCGCGCAUCCUCACGCACAUGUGCAGGUGGGUUAACAGUGUAGUGAAGGCAUCACGCAUCCUCACGCACAUGUGCAGGUGGGUUAAUAGUGUGAAGGCAUCGCGCAUCCUCACGUACAUGUGCAGGUGGGUUGAUAGUGUAGUGAAGACAUCGCGCAUCCUCACGCACAUGUGCAGGUGGGUUGAUAGUGUAGUGAAGGCAUCGCGCAUCCUCACGCACAUGUGCAGGUGGGUUAAUAGUGUGAAGGCAUCGCGCAUCCUCACGUACAUGUGCAGGUGGGUUGAUAGUGUAGUGAAGGCAUCGCGCAUCCUCACGUACAUGUGCAGGUGGGUUGAUAGUGUAGUGAAGGCAUCGCGCAUCCUCACGCACAUGUGCAGGUGGGUUAAUAGUGUAGUGAAUGCAUCGCGCAUCCUCACGCACAUGUGCAGGUGGGUUAAUAGUGUAGUGAAUGCAUCGCGCAUCCUCACGCACAUGUGCAGGUGGGUUAAUAGUGUAGUGAAGGCAUCGCGCAUCCUCACGCACAUGUGCAGGUGGGUUGAUAGUGUAGUGAAGGCAUCGCGCAUCCUCACGCACAUGUGCAGGUGGGUUGAUAGUGUAGUGAAGGCAUCGCGCAUCCUCACGCACAUGUGCAGGUGGGUUAAUAGUGUAGUGAAGGCAUCGCGCAUCCUCACGCACAUGUGCAGGUUCGUUGAUAGUGUAGUGAAGGCAUCGCGCAUCCUCACGCACAUGUGCAGGUGGGUUGAUAGUGUAGUGAAGGCAUCGCGCAUCCUCACGCACAUGUGCAGGUGGGUUAACAGUGUAGUGAAGGCAUCACGCAUCCUCACGCACAUGUGCAGGUGGGUUAAUAGUGUGAAGGCAUCGCGCAUCCUCACGCACAUGUGCAGGUGGGUUGAUAGUGUAGUGAAUGCAUCGCGCAUCCUCACGCACAUGUGCAGGUGGGUUAAUAGUGUGAAGGCAUCGCGCAUCCUCACGCACAUGUGCAGGUGGGUUAAUAGUGUAGUGAAGGCAUCGCGCAUCCUCACGCACAUGUGCAGGUGGGUUGAUAGUGUAGUGAAGGCAUCGCGCAUCCUCACGUACAUGUGCAGGUGGGUUGAUAGUGUAGUGAAUGCAUUGCGCAUCCUCACGCACAUGUGCAGGUGGAUUAAUAGUGUAGUGAAGGCAUCGCGCAUCCUCACGCACAUGUGCAGGUGGGUUGAUAGUGUAGUGAAGGCAUCACGCAUCCUCACGCACAUGUGCAGGUGGGUUAAUAGUGUGAAGGCAUCGCGCAUCCUCACGCACAUGUGCAGGUGGGUUGAUAGUGUAGUGAAGGCAUCGCGCAUCCUCACGCACAUGUGCAGGUGGGUUGACAGUGUAGUGAAGGCAUCGCGCAUCCUCACGCACAUUUGCAGGUGGGUUAACAGUGUAGUGAAGGCAUCGCGCAUCCUCACGCACAUGUGCAGGUGGGUUAAUAGUGUGAAGGCAUCGCGCAUCCUCACGCACAUGUGCAGGGGGGUUAAGAGUGUAGUGAAGGCAUCGCGCAUCCUCACGCACAUACGCAGGUGGGUUAAUAGUGUAGUGAAGGCAUCGCGCAUCCUCACGCACAUACGCAGGUGGGUUAAUAGUGUAGUGAAGGCAUCGCGCAUCCUCACGCACAUGUGCAGGUGGGUUGAUAGUGUAGUGAAGGCAUCGCGCAUCCUCACGCACAUGUGCAGGUGGGUUAAUAGUGUGAAGGCAUCGCGCAUCCUCACGCACAUGUGCAGGUGGGUUAACAGUGUAGUGAAGGCAUCGCGCAUCCUCACGCACAUGUGCAGGUGGGUUAACAGUGUAGUGAAGGCAUCGCGCAUCCUCACGCACAUGUGCAGGUGGGUUGAUAGUGUGAAGGCAUCGCGCAUCCUCACGCACAUGUGCAGGUGGGUUGACAGUGUAGUGAAUGCAUCGCGCAUCCUCACGCACAUGUGCAGGUGGGUUGAUAGUGUAGUGAAUGCAUCGCGCAUCCUCACGCACAUGUGCAGGUGGGUUAAUAGUGUGAAGGCAUCGCGCAUCCUCACGCACAUGUGCAGGUGGGUUGACAGUGUAGUGAAGGCAUCACGCAUCCUCACGCACAUGUGCAGGUGGGUUAAUAGUGUGAAGGCAUCGCGCAUCCUCACGCACAUGUGCAGGUGGGUUGAUAGUGUAGUGAAGGCAUCACGCAUCCUCACGCACAUGUGCAGGUGGGUUGACAGUGUAGUGAAUGCAUCGCGCAUCCUCACGCACAUGUGCAGGUGGGUUGACAGUGUAGUGAAGGCAUCACGCAUCCUCACGCACAUGUGCAGGUGGGUUAAUAGUGUGAAGGCAUCGCGCAUCCUCACGCACAUGUGCAGGUGGGUUGAUAGUGUAGUGAAGGCAUCGCGCAUCCUCACGCACAUGUGCAGGUGGGUUGAUAGUGUAGUGAAGGCAUCGCGCAUCCUCACGCACAUGUGCAGGUGGGUUAAUAGUGUAGUGAAGGCAUCGCGCAUCCUCACGCACAUGUGCAGGUGGGUUGAUAGUGUAGUGAAGGCAUCGCGCAUCCUCACGCACAUGUGCAGGUGGGUUGAUAGUGUAGUGAAGGCAUCGCGCAUCCUCACGCACAUGUGCAGGUGGGUUAAUAGACUGUCGUGA